UCCUCUUUAGCUUGUAGUGCAUAGAUGGUGGUGAUACGAACGAAUAUCCUUGGCCCGUAGUGCAUGGAUAAUUCGUUGAAUUGAAAUAUUUAUUGAAUGAUGUUACAGUGAUAAAAUAUUGAUGAUGGACUUUUAAAUCAUAGAAGAUAGUAGAUUUCAUGUUCUACUUUACUCUUCUAAUGGAUUGUUGUUUCCGCUGUAGUUGUU
rnacentral:lncRNA from 1 species